UCGCUGUAAUAAGCUUGCAAGCUGCCCGGGCAUCGUCAGUUCGUCUGUGGUCCCCCCUGAUGUCGUUUCACAAUUUUAUUCGCUAGUCGUUCAAUACAUUUAGUUUUAGAUACUUAAUAGUAAAUAUUCAAGCAAACGUCGGUGUAGUGUUAAAAAUGGUUUUAUUCAGAUAAAAAUUAGGGCGUUGUUACCAAGUAUGACUUUACGUAGACUGAAGAUCGUAUGUACGAGGCUCGUUGCCAGCUUUUCAAGUUUUGUUGCAAGCAUCAUCUCCCACAGUUACUGGACAUUGGCUUGCGGUCCUAAUUACAAUAUUUAUGGAAAACGCUACAUCGACGUUUUGAUACAGUGUUUGACACGACAGCGACAGUUUAAAUAAUGACCCUCGGGGUACCGGAUAUAGCCAAAAUUAGCAAGCAAGUUUUUAUUUGUGUACGAGCGAAACGGCGGAGAGGAAUCGACAAGACGGGUUCUGUUAUUUCAGUUU